GACGAACGCUGGCGGCGUGCUUAACACAUGCAAGUCGAGCGGGAAGGCCCUGCUUUUGUGGGGUGCUCGAGUGGCGAACGGGUGAGUAACACGUGAGUAACCUGCCCUUGACUUUGGGAUAACUUCAGGAAACUGGGGCUAAUACCGGAUAGGAGCUCCUGCUGCAUGGUGGGGGUUGGAAAGUUUCGGCGGUUGGGGAUGGACUCGCGGAUUAUCAGCUUGUUGGUGGGGUAGUGGCUUACCAAGGCUUUGACGGGUAGCCUGCCUGAGAGGGUGACCGGCCACAUUGGGAGUGAGAUACGGCCCAGAGUCGUACGGGAGGCAGCAGUGGGGAAGAUAGCACAAUGGGCGGAAGCCGGAUGCAGCAACGCCGCGUGCGGGAUGACGGCCUUCGUGUUGUAAACCGCUUUCGCCUGUGACGGAGCGUUAGUGACGGUAAUGGGUAAAGAAGCACCGGCUAACUACGUG
rnacentral:rRNA from 1 species